GUUUAUUAAAAUAUUGACGGUUACUUUUUCACAUUCGUUUCGUUUCAUCGUAACUUUUUGAUAUACUGUUA
rnacentral:sRNA from 1 species